rnacentral:rRNA from 1 species
UACGGGGGGGGCAAGCGUUGUUCGGAAUUACUGGGCGUAAAGGGUGCGUAGGCGGCGCGGUAAGUCGGGUGUGAAAUCUCGGGCUUAACUCCGAAACUGCAUUCGAUACUGCCGUGCUUGAGGACUGGAGAGGAGACUGGAAUUUACGGUGUAGCGGUGAAAUGCGUAGAUAUCGUAAGGAAGACCAGUGGCGAAGGCGGGUCUCUGGACAGUUCCUGACGCUGAGGCACGAAGGCCAGGGGAGCAAACGGG